GAUGAACGCUGGCGGCGUGCCUAAUACAUGCAAGUCGAACGAAUAGAUUAUGAGCUUGCUUUUCUGCCCUGAGCGGCGGACGGUUGAGUAACACGUGGAUAACCUACCUUUACGUCUGGGAUAACUUCGGGAAACCGGUGCUAACACCGGCUAAUAUCUCGUACCGCAUUUUUCAGUAGUGAAAGACGGUUUUGCUGUCUCUUAUAGCUCUAUCCGCUCCGAAUUAGCUAGUUGGUAAGGUAACGGCUUACCAAGGCAACGAUGCGUAGCAGACCUGUGAGGGUGAUCGGCCACACUGGAACGGAGACACGGUCCAGACUCCUACGGGAGGAAGCAGUAGGGAAUCUUCCGCAAUGGGCGAAAGCCUGACGGAGAAACGCCGCGUGAGUGAUGAAGGUCUUCGGAUCGUAAAACUCUGUGAUUAGGGAAGAACAAAUGUGGAAGUAACUAUGCACGUCUUGACGGUACCUAAUCAGAAAGCCACGGCUAACUACGUG
rnacentral:rRNA from 1 species